GCUGCGAUGGCCGAGUGGUUAAGGCGUUGGACUCGAAAUCCAAUGGGAUAUUCCCGCGCAGGUCCGAAUUCUUUUCGCAGCG
rnacentral:tRNA from 1 species